GGCGGCAUGCCUUACACAUGCAAGUCGAACGGCAGCACGGGAGCAAUCCUGGUGGCGAGUGGCGAACGGGUGAGUAAUAUAUCGGAACGUGCCCAGUCGUGGGGGAUAACGUAGCGAAAGCUACGCUAAUACCGCAUACGAUCUAUGGAUGAAAGCGGGGGAUCGCAAGACCUCGCGCGAUUGGAGCGGCCGAUAUCAGAUUAGGUAGUUGGUGAGGUAAAGGCUCACCAAGCCGACGAUCUGUAGCUGGUCUGAGAGGACGACCAGCCACACUGGGACUGAGACACGGCCCAGACUCCUACGGGAGGCAGCAGUGGGGAAUUUUGGACAAUGGGCGCAAGCCUGAUCCAGCAAUGCCGCGUGCAGGAUGAAGGCCUUCGGGUUGUAAACUGCUUUUGUACGGAACGAAACGGUGAGCUCUAAUACAGUUUGCUAAUGACGGUACCGUAAGAAUAAGCACCGGCUAACUACGUG
rnacentral:rRNA from 1 species